rnacentral:rRNA from 1 species
AUUGAACGCUGGCGGCAGGCCUAACACAUGCAAGUCGAGCGAGCGGCGGACGGGUGAGUAAUGUAUGGGAAACUGCCUGAUGGAGGGGGAUAACGACUGGAAACGGUAGAUAAUACCGCAUACCAACCUAUGUGCCCAGAUGGGAUUAGCUUGUAGGUGAGGUAACGGCUCACCUAGGCGACGAUCCCUAGCUGGUCUGAGAGGUUGACCUGCCACACUGGUACUGAGACACGGUCCAGACUCCUACGGGAGGCAGCAGUGGGGAAUAUUGCACAAUUGGCGCAAGCCUGAUGCAGCCAUGCCGCGUGUAUGAAGAAGGCCUUCGGGUUGUAAAGUACUUUCGGCGGGGAGGCGUUACCCGCCGAAAAAGCACCGGCUAACUCCGUGCCAGCAGCCGCGGUAAUAC